CAGCUGUUAGGGGGCGGGGCGUCGGCCGACCAUGGCGGGUGAGCUUGAGAGCUGCAAGCCCUUGAGUGGGUUACUGAACGGCUUGGCCCAGGACGCGUUCCACGGGCACCCGGGCAUCACAGAGGAGCUGCUGCGGAGCCAGCUCUAUCCGGAGGUGCAGCCCGAGGAAUUUCGCCCGUUUCUGGCGAAGAUGAGGGGAAUUCUUAAGUCUAUUGCAUCUGCAGACAUGGAUUUCAACCAGCUGGAGGCAUUCUUGACUGCUCAAACCAAAAAGCAAGGUGGGAUCACUUCUGAGCAAGCUGCUGUCAUUUCCAAGUUCUGGAAGAGCCACAAGACAAAAAUCCGCGAGAGCCUCGUGAACCAGAGCCGCUGGGACAAUGGGCUUCGGGGCCUGAGCUGGAGAGUUGAUGGCAAGUCUCAGUCAAGGCACUCAACUCAAAUACAUGCUCCUGUUGCUAUAAUAGAGCUGGAAUUAGGAAAAAGUGGACAGAUACCAGCAACGUCUGGAAUUGGGUUGGAUUGAAGUCAGUAUCCAGAGACUGUAGCCAGUUCUUCCACAUGGACUGUAGGAACCCAGUGAUACUUGAGCUGUCACUUCUGCCUUCAAGAUCUGCAUUAAUAGAAAGUUGGGAUCUGGACCUAGAGCCAGGAAUCUGAAUUUCUGUGUUUGGAAUUUGAUGAGGUGAAGGUCAACCAAAUCCUGAAGAAGCUGUCAGAGGUAGAAGAAAGUAUCAGCGCACUGAUGCAGCCAGCGUAACUGCAGAUGACACAGGAAGGAGUUGGAGUUUUUGAAGGAAAGGUGUUCGUGAUUCCUCCUCUCUGACUUUUUUUAAAAAUAUUGUUUCCCCAAUGGUAUUAAAUUUUCAAAUUCAAAUCUU